AUAAGUGGAUCCAAGUACAUUCAAUGUGGUUCGUUUGGCCUUGAUAUCAGUGUAGCACAGAUUCAAAAGUUAUCAGAAGUGAGGCCUUGCAUGAGAGGUGAGAAAAUCAUUCAAGAGCAGAAAUCUAAAUCCCAUCAUGGUUACCAGAAUCCCUCUGCCUUCUGAGAAGUACUAAGGGAGUCGUAGGUGACAAAUGAUUGAUUUGACAUGCUUAAUCUUUUCCUUGUGCAUAGAUAUGCAUGAGCAUGUUGCAGUUUUCCCACACCAACCCACUGAUUGCGGAAAGUCCACCUACCACAGGUCCACAGACACAAGGCUUGUUCCAGACAAGAUAACAGAACAGAAACCCUCUGCAAGAUGAUCAACAAAGGACCAAAAGCCAUCUUUGGAAAUCACAAAAGCUUCCAGCAUCGAUGGUGUCCAGACAUCAAGGAGUUCUUUACGUUUAUGAACCCACUGCCUGGAGUUACAGACAUGCUGGUGGCUUGUGAGAGGCUGAGAACGAGACAAUGUGACAAACCUGUGCUACUCAAUCAUUAGCAAGUAAGUGGUGGUGAAAAAGAUGUACAGUUAAGAGCGUCAGGUAAGCCUCUAGGCAGAAUAUUAGUGUCAAAC